rnacentral:rRNA from 1 species
GACGAACGCUGGCGGCGUGCUUAACACAUGCAAGUCGAACGGAGAUUCAGCAAUGGAUCUUAGUGGCGAACGGGUGAGUAACGCGUAGGCAAUCUGCCUUCUAGAUGGGGACAACAUCCCGAAAGGGGUGCUAAUACCGAAUGUUGUACCGUUUCCGCAUGGAGAUGAUACUAAAGGUGGCCUCUGAAUAUGCUACCGCUAGAAGACGAGCCUGCGUCUGAUUAGCUAGUUGGAGGGGUAACGGCCCACCAAGGCAACGAUCAGUAGCCGGUCUGAGAGGAUGAACGGCCACACUGGGACUGAGACACGGCCCAGACUCCUACGGGAGGCAGCAGUGGGGAAUCUUCCGCAAUGGACGAAAGUCUGACGGAGCAACGCCGCGUGAGUGAAGAAGGUUUUCGGAUCGUAAAGCUCUUUCGUUAGGGACGAACGUGCUCUUUGUGAAUAAUGAGGAGUAAUGACGGUACCUGAAUAAGAAGCCACGGCUAACUACGUGCCAGCCGCCGCGGUAA